rnacentral:ncRNA from 9 species
AUUAGUGACGCGCAUGAAUGGAUU